GAUGAACGCUGGCGGCGUGCCUAAUACAUGCAAGUCGAGCGAAUGGAUUAAGAGCUUGCUCUUAUGAAGUUAGCGGCGGACGGGUGAGUAACACGUGGGUAACCUGCCCAUAAGACUGGGAUAACUCCGGGAAACCGGGGCUAAUACCGGAUAACAUUUUGAACCGCAUGGUUCGAAAUUGAAAGGCGGCUUCGGCUGUCACUGAUGGAUGGACCCGCGUCGCAUUAGGUAGUCGGUGAGGUAACGGCUCACCAAGGCAACGAUGCGUAGCCGACCUGAGAGGGUGAUCGGCCACACUGGGACUGAGACACGGCCCAGACUCCUACGGGAGGCAGCAGUAGGGAAUCUUCCGCAAUGGACGAAAGUCUGACGGAGCAACGCCGCGUGAGUGAUGAAGGCUUUCGGGUCGUAAAACUCUGUUGUUAGGGAAGAACAAGUGCUAGUUGAAUAAGCUGGCACCUUGACGGUACCUAACCAGAAAGCCACGGCUAACUACGUGCCAGCCGCCGCAGUAA
rnacentral:rRNA from 1 species